rnacentral:rRNA from 1 species
GUUAUAUGGUCAAGUGAAGAAGCGCAUACGGUGGAUGCCUUGGCAGUCAGAGGCGAUGAAAGACGUGGUAGCCUGCGAAAAGCUUCGGGGAGUCGGCAAACAGACUGUGAUCCGGAGAUGUCUGAAUGGGGGAACCCAGCCAUCAUAAGAUGGUUAUCUUGUACUGAAUACAUAGGUGCAAGAGGCGAACCAGGGGAACUGAAACAUCUAAGUACCCUGAGGAAAAGAAAUCAACCGAGAUUCCCUUAGUAGUGGCGAGCGAACGGGGACCAGCCCUUAAGUUGUAUUGAGAUUAGCGGAACGUUCUGGAAAGGACGGCCAUAGUGGGUGAUAGCCCUGUACGCGAAAAUCCCUUUGCAAUGAAAUCGAGUAGGACGGGGCACGAGAAACCUUGUCUGAAUAUGGGGGGGACCAUCCUCCAAGGCUAAAUACUACUGACUGACCGAUAGUGAACCAGUACCGUGAGGGAAAGGCGAAAAGAACCGCGGAGAGCGGAGUGAAAUAGAUCCUGAAACCGUAUGCGUACAAGCAGUGGGAGCCCACUUUGUUGGGUGACUGCGUACCUUUUGUAUAAUGGGUCAGCGACUUAUUUUCAGUGGCGAGCUUAACCGAAUAGGGGAGGCGUAGCGAAAGCGAGUCUUAAUAGGGCGUCUAGUCGCUGGGAAUAGACCCGAAACCGGGCGAUCUAUCCAUGGGCAGGUUGAAGGUUGGGUAACACUAACUGGAGGACCGAACCGACUACCGUUGAAAAGUUAGCGGAUGACCUGUGGAUCGGAGUGAAAGGCUAAUCAAGCUCGGAGAUAGCUGGUUCUCCUCGAAAGCUAUUUAGGUAGCGCCUCAUGUAUCACUGUAGGGGGUAGAGCACUGUUUCGGCUAGGGGGUCAUCCCCGACUUACCAAACCGAUGCAAACUCCGAAUACCUACAAGUGCCGAGCAUGGGAGACACACGGCGGGUGCUAACGUCCGUCGUGAAAAGGGAAACAACCCAGACCGUCAGCUAAGGUCCCAAAGUCAUGGUUAAGUGGGAAACGAUGUGGGAAGGCUUAGACAGCUAGGAGGUUGGCUUAGAAGCAGCCACCCUUUAAAGAAAGCGUAAUAGCUCACUAGUCGAGUCGGCCUGCGCGGAAGAUGUAACGGGGCUCAAACCAUGCACCGAAGCUACGGGUAUCAUCUUUUGAUGAUGCGGUAGAGGAGCGUUCUGUAAGCCUGUGAAGGUGAGUUGAGAAGCUUGCUGGAGGUAUCAGAAGUGCGAAUGCUGACAUGAGUAACGACAAUGGGUGUGAAAAACACCCACGCCGAAAGACCAAGGUUUCCUGCGCAACGUUAAUCGACGCAGGGUUAGUCGGUCCCUAAGGCGAGGCUGAAAAGCGUAGUCGAUGGAAAACAGGUUAAUAUUCCUGUACUUCUGGUUAUUGCGAUGGAGGGACGGAGAAGGCUAGGCCAGCCUGGCGUUGGUAGUCCAGGUUUAAGGUGGUAGGCUGAGAUCUUAGGUAAAUCCGGGAUCUUAAGGCCGAGAGCUGAUGACGAGUGUUCUUUUAGAACAUGAAGUGGUUGAUGCCAUGCUUCCAAGAAAAGCUUCUAAGCUUCAGGUAACCAGGAACCGUACCCCAAACCGACACAGGUGGUUGGGUAGAGAAUACCAAGGCGCUUGAGAGAACUCGGGUGAAGGAACUAGGCAAAAUGGCACCGUAACUUCGGGAGAAGGUGCGCCGGUGGAGGUGAAGCAUUUACUGCGUAAGCCCCUGCCGGUCGAAGAUACCAGGCCGCUGCGACUGUUUAUUAAAAACACAGCACUCUGCAAACACGAAAGUGGACGUAUAGGGUGUGACGCCUGCCCGGUGCCGGAAGGUUAAUUGAUGGGGUUAGCGCAAGCGAAGCUCUUGAUCGAAGCCCCGGUAAACGGCGGCCGUAACUAUAACGGUCCUAAGGUAGCGAAAUUCCUUGUCGGGUAAGUUCCGACCUGCACGAAUGGCGUAACGAUGGCGGCGCUGUCUCCACCCGAGACUCAGUGAAAUUGAAAUCGCUGUGAAGAUGCAGUGUAUCCGCGGCUAGACGGAAAGACCCCGUGAACCUUUACUAUAGCUUUGCACUGGACUUUGAAUUUGCUUGUGUAGGAUAGGUGGGAGGCUUUGAAGCGUGGACGCCAGUUUGCGUGGAGCCAACCUUGAAAUACCACCCUGGCAACUUUGAGGUUCUAACUCAGGUCCGUUAUCCGGAUCGAGGACAGUGUAUGGUGGGUAGUUUGACUGGGGCGGUCUCCUCCUAAAGAGUAACGGAGGAGUACGAAGGUGCGCUCAGACCGGUCGGAAAUCGGUCGUAGAGUAUAAAGGCAAAAGCGCGCUUGACUGCGAGACAGACACGUCGAGCAGGUACGAAAGUAGGUCUUAGUGAUCCGGUGGUUCUGUAUGGAAGGGCCAUCGCUCAACGGAUAAAAGGUACUCCGGGGAUAACAGGCUGAUACCGCCCAAGAGUUCAUAUCGACGGCGGUGUUUGGCACCUCGAUGUCGGCUCAUCACAUCCUGGGGCUGAAGCCGGUCCCAAGGGUAUGGCUGUUCGCCAUUUAAAGUGGUACGCGAGCUGGGUUUAGAACGUCGUGAGACAGUUCGGUCCCUAUCUGCCGUGGACGUUUGAGAUUUGAGAGGGGCUGCUCCUAGUACGAGAGGACCGGAGUGGACGAACCUCUGGUGUUCCGGUUGUCACGCCAGUGGCAUUGCCGGGUAGCUAUGUUCGGAAAAGAUAACCGCUGAAAGCAUCUAAGCGGGAAACUUGCCUCAAGAUGAGAUCUCACUGGAACCUUGAGUUCCCUAAAGGGCCGUCGAAGACUACGACGUUGAUAGGUUGGGUGUGUAAGCGCUGUGAGGCGUUGAGCUAACCAAUACUAAUUGCCCGUGAGGCUUGACCAUAUAACACCCAAGCAAUU